AUUGAACGCUGGCGGCAUGCCUUACACAUGCAAGUCGAACGGCAGCACGGGAGCAAUCCUGGUGGCGAGUGGCGAACGGGUGAGUAAUAUAUCGGAACGUGCCCAGUCGUGGGGGAUAACGUAGCGAAAGCUACGCUAAUACCGCAUACGAUCUAUGGAUGAAAGCGGGGGAUCGCAAGACCUCGCGCGAUUGGAGCGGCCGAUAUCAGAUAGGUAGUUGGUGAGGUAAAGGCUCACCAAGCCGACGAUCUGUAGCUGGUCUGAGAGGACGACCAGCCACACUGGGACUGAGACA
rnacentral:rRNA from 1 species